GGUUGUUGGAGAGAGGAGUAGUGGUUGUGAUUUUUUUGUUUUUCUUCGUUUUUUGAAUUAUGGUUUCAGAAGGAACCCAAAAAUUCAUAAUUGUGCCUGGUUCUAUCUCUAUACUAUGAGGUCUGAUUCCAGCUAAUUUCAUUAGGCCAUGUAACAAUGGUUUUUGUGCUUCAACCAAGUUCACCAUUUUUUUAUUUGCAAGAAAAAUGUUUCUUGUGUACGGAGGAAUUAAGGAUAGAAGAGAUGAGAGGAAGGGGAUUUUUAAAGUAAGGUUAGG
rnacentral:misc_RNA from 1 species